AGGGAAAAUUAGCCGGCUUGGUCUAUCCAGUGGUGGAAAUGAGAGAAAUUGGAGACAACGUGGGUUUGCUUUUCUGGGAACAAACACGUCCAGAGAGAAGACAGACAAGAGAAUAGAGUCAAUGGACGAAAAGAAAAGAAAACAGGGAGACCAACUUGGCCAAAGAUGCAGAGAGGAAGACAAACAGAACCAGCAGGAAAAGAAAAGCCCCACGUCACAAGGACCUCCACAUUCAGAUCAAUGCAGGCAUGUGUGUGAUAGACCCAAAAACCAAAUAGAAACCCUCAAAUCGCCUAAUUCCCAGAACAGGCAAAUUUUUGCCAAGUUCAUGAUUUGGCAGAGUUCUUGCAUAUUCCAUACAAUUUCAAUGAGAAGCUGUAUCCAUCUUGUUCUAAGAGCAGAUUGUCAUUUUCCACUUGAAAUACACACGUUGCACUGA